GAUGAACGCUGGCGGCGUGCUUAACACAUGCAAGUCGAACGGAAAGGCUCCUGCUUGCAGGGGUACUCGAGUGGCGAACGGGUGAGUAACACGUGGGUGAUCUGCCCUGCACUUCGGGAUAAGCCUGGGAAACUGGGUCUAAUACCGGAUAGGACCACCUUUUGGAUGGUGUGGUGGAACGUUUUUCGGUGUGGGAUGAGCUCGCGGCCUAUCAGCUUGUUGGUGGGGUAAUGGCCUACCAAGGCGUCGACGGGUAGCCGGCCUGAGAGGGUGUACGGCCACAUUGGGACUGAGAUACGGCCCAGACUCCUACGGGAGGCAGCAGUGGGGAAUAUUGCACAAUGGGCGGAAGCCUGAUGCAGCGACGCCGCGUGGGGGAUGACGGCCUUCGGGUUGUAAACUCCUUUCGCUAGGGACGAAGCGCAAGUGACGGUACCGGGAGAAGAAGCACCGGCUAACUACGUG
rnacentral:rRNA from 1 species